CCUGUCUCUAAUGCAACAGGGACUGGACUCUUCUAGAAUGUUCAAAUACUGAAGCUGGGUCACUCAGAACUUAAAGCUGUAACUGACAGGCAGACUCUCUGUGGGCAUCUGGAAAGGCUGGCAAAGGAGACGAUGCUGGUGAAAUAGGUAGCUCCUUUCUGUUGUGAAUGUAUGCCCACCACAGACGCCUUCGGAGCCUCAGCAGGACAUCUCUGGAUUGCAUCAGAGCCUUUACCAACAUCUCUUGCCAUCUUACUGUUGGAGAAUGGAGGACCAUCUAGAUCCGGCAACGGAGUCAAGGCACCUCAGAGGUUCUGGUGACUCAGGAAGGACCACACAUCUCAGCAGUGGGAGAGCACAGGGGCAGUUUGCCUCCAGCACUGUCUGCUAGACUUUUUGCUCUUAGCUAUUUCAAAGCUGAGAUCAUCUCAUUCCUGGGUCUCAAGAGGACAAAGCUAAUGUAGACAUUUAAAGUCGUUUUUCAAGAUUAGAAUGAGAGCCAUAGAGAGCUGGGCUUGGUGGUACUGUAAUCCUAGCUCUUGGAGACUGAGGCUGUCACAUAGUGAGUUCUAAGCCAGCCUGGGUUAUAAAGUGUCUCAAGAAAUAACAACCCAAGCCAAUAAUAUAAUUAUAGCUACUGGGAAGUCAUAACCCAUUUUCCUCAUUAUAUUUUUCUUCUCCUUUUUCUUCUUCCUAUCUUUAUAUCGGUUUUCUUACUAUUAUGAACCAAAUCUAGUUAUGCUGGGUAGCAC
rnacentral:lncRNA from 1 species